ACCCCACAGGACAAACAUUAAUCUGUAAAUGAAAGUGAAAGAUUUAAAGCCAGAGUCGCCACGUCAGUAAGGAACACGAAUAAGACGCUGGAAAAAUAUAUUUUGUAUUGCAAGAGACCCCUUUAGGAAUCAUUUGCUGUGGAUCAGCACCAAAAUGGAGGAACCUGCUUCUGAAAUGACCCCCCCUGUGGGGUAUAAGGAGAGAGGAGCUGUGUCUGAAAUGACCCCCCCUGUGGAGUGUAAGACAAAGGGGCCUGAGAGUGUCCUGAUGGAGAGAGCAGGCUCACCUGCACCCAGCUGUGUUUCCAUGAAGAGUGACAGGUCAAUGGACAAAUCACUCAGAUUCAGAGAGGGACCUUUUCCUACAGAUCAGAG